rnacentral:lncRNA from 1 species
GACGAGUUUUUACCUCGACGUCCCCGGCCCCUCUUCCAACACCGACCUUGAAAGUCAAAGCCAGGUCAAGCCAGUCUGUGGUUCUGAUUUGCCAGGCCCCAAAAGGCAACCAUGGAGUUCUGUUCAAGCUGUUCCAGGAAAGAGAGGAGGUACUGAAGUUUGAAUAUUUGUGUUUAUAUUUUCUAACAACUCGUUCUAACUUUUUUUUCGUGUCUUGUGGAGGUGGACUUGGUGAACUUACAGUAUGGGGCUGAAGAGGUUCAGUUCACCGUCAGGGUGGACACAAAAAAGCCUAAAAUCUUCUGCUGUCUGUACAAGGACCAGCAGGGACUCUACAGUUUAAUAAGUCCCUACUUGGAUCUAGACGACCACAACGAUGAUGCCCCUACUGUCUUGCCUUCAAUCCCCCCUCCGCUCUUGUCUGUGGAUCCCCCCACAGACGUGGUAAAACCAGGAGCCACACUCCAUUUCAGCUGCAGCAUCCCCACUCAUCAAUCCCAGUCUCAAUCCCAGUCCCAGAAGCCAUCUUCUUUUCUCCUGCUGAGGACCGCUCAGCCAACAGGGGUUACGUCGGUCAUCCUAAGCCCGAAGGCCAGUCGGGUUUCAGACACCCCGCUGCCUGGGGUUUUCACAGUGGGACCGGUGAGGAAAGGAGAUGAGGGCGAGUACAUACCAGAUUACCAAAAGACGAGGAUUGGUUAACUCAACCGCCAGCAAUGUCAUUAAAAUCAUCAUUGCAGACAAGCUGCCAACGCCCAGCCUCGUCCUGCAGCAGCAGACAGAUGUGUGGCACUUGCUCUGCGCCGGCUCUGCUGCGUACCCCGGUGCCACGUUCUCCCUCUUCCUGGCAGACAAUGAAGCUCCUGUUGCCACCCAAAGGGCUUCAGUAACCCAGCAUCAAGCAGUGUUCCCCCUCCCUGUCCAAGACUCCUCUGUGGCUUUGUAUGAGUGUCAAUACAGCGUCCUGCUGGGCAGCAUGUGGAGCAAUUCUGACAGAAGCGUGGCUGUGUCUGUGACUAAAGGAAACUCACCAUUGUCUUCUUCAGGUGUGGACUGGCCUCUUCUUGUGGGCUCUUCUUCUGCUGCUGUGCUGUUUCUCUGCUCACUGGUGCUCAUAGCUGUGGUAGCUCACAGAAAAGUAAAAGCAGCAGCGGAGAAAAAGAAGAAUAGGCAGGAAGCACAGUUCUGGACUAAAGUUCACGGCAGAGACCAUGUUGUUGAUCUUACUCUCCGACGAACAAGUUUUACAUAUCAGGAAUGGAACAGCGGGGUCACGGAAACGGCCUCCAGAUCAUCUCUGUGGAACCCCCUCUCUACAUUCACAACCGAGAUCCAUUAGACAUGCAAGUUUCCUCCACACACGUGUUUGUGUGUGUGCGCACUUUAUCAGAGUUUAUCUGUGUAGAAUCAAUUAGUAUUUCACAGCAGGACAGGAAAAUGUAUUGUUUCACUUUGUUUUUUUCAAAGAUUUGUGUGCUUGUGACUGUACAGUUAGACAGGAAAUGAUGCGUCUUUGAUGUUAAGCUAUUAAUGGAAUCACUGGGUUAUUACAAUUUUUCUGUAAAGAUACAUGAAUGUUUUAUUUUUAUGAUUCUAAAGGUUAAAUUUUGAUGCUAAAAAUCCCAAAUUACUUUAGUCUUUGUCUACUUGUCAGUGAUUUUCUUUG